rnacentral:rRNA from 1 species
AUACGUAGGGAGCGAGCGUUGUCCGGAAUUACUGGGUGUAAAGGGAGCGUAGGCGGGAGUGCAAGUCAGAUGUGAAAUACAUGGGCUCAACCCAUGGGCUGCAUUUGAAACUGCAUUUCUUGAGUGAAGUAGAGGUAAGCGGAAUUCCUGGUGUAGCGGUGAAAUGCGUAGAUAUCAGGAGGAACACCGGUGGUGAAGGCGGCUUACUGGGCUUUUACUGACGCUGAGGCUCGAAAGCGUGGGGAGCAAACAGGAUUAGAUACCCUGGUAGUCCACGCUGUAAACGAUGAUUACUAGGUGUGGGGGGACUGACCCCUUCCGUGCCGCAGUUAACACAAUAAGUAAUCCACCUGGGGAGUACGGCCGCAAGGUUGAAACUCAAAUGAAUUGACGGGG